rnacentral:tRNA from 2 species
UUUAUUGAAUUAGAACAAAAUAGAUAUAAUAAAUAAUCGCUUGGUCGCUGGUUCAAGUCCAGCAGGGGCCACCA